AUUUUAUUUUAAACAUCGUAAUCGACCUACAACAUUUAGAAAAUGGCUUUACGUUAAUUGGUUAGUAACACUUUAAUUGUAUUAUCGGUUCUCAUUAAUUGUAAGUUAGUGCUUACUUAAACCACAAUAAGUCUUUUAUUCAGUAGCUCCCAGUCAGUGGAAUAAAGCUGUACAAAAUGAACAACAAAUUAAUAAUAUCAGCCAUCGCAUUCGUGACAUUUUUCACGUUUACUCUGGCCUACAACAAAGACAAGUGUGAUGCACCUCCUAGUGAGACUGGGCUUUGCAGGGCCUAUUUUCCCAGCUGGACGUUCUCGGAAAAAAAAUGCAAGUACUUUAUUUAUGGGGGAUGUGGAGCGACUGCAAACAUAUUUAGUUCAAGUAAGGAGUGCGAAGCAGCUUGCUUAAAUUAAAACAGAUUUGUAAUCAAAAAUUAAAUAAAUGAAAACUACACAUUUAUUCUGAAUUAAUA